UACGAAGGGGGGCUAGCGUUGUUCGGAAUUACUGGGCGUAAAGCGCACGUAGGCGGAUUGUUAAGUCAGGGGUGAAAUCCUGGAGCUCAACUCCAGAACUGCCUUUGAUACUGGCAAUCUUGAGUCCGGAAGAGGUGAGUGGAACUCCUAGUGUAGAGGUGGAAUUCGUAGAUAUUAGGAAGAACACCAGUGGCGAAGGCGGCUCACUGGUCCGGUACUGACGCUGAGGUGCGAAAAGCGUGGGGAGCAAACAGGG
rnacentral:rRNA from 1 species